ensembl:lncRNA
AUUUAAGAAACCAAACUUUUGCUCUUUUCCAGACUUUGAUAUUUUCUGCAGUGUUUGUGCCUCCAUCAGCACGCAACACUUUGAGGCAGCUGCCCACUAAUAAAACACUGUUUGAGCCUUUGCAGCUGAUUACCUCAUGGAUGGAUUAAUGAGUGGGCCUACCAAGGGGCCCCAGGGGUCAAAGGGCGUAAGCCUCACUCACUGUUAUAAGCAUUUUUCAUUUAAAGUCAUAGGACUCAGUCAAACCUGGUGACGUUAACUUCUUUCUUUCCUGAUUCUUUAAUCAUGAGUAUUUGCUGAUGCAGACCCUCUCUUGUACUUGUUACCAGCCCCAGUGACAGCGACGUCGGUAUUGUUUUCCCCAUGCAAGUCUGUCUGUGUGUGUGUGUGUGUGUGUCAUCACUGCGAAAUGUGGUACUGGAGAAGCCAACUGUAGCGGGAGCUACCACAGAAGCGGUUCUGAGGGAUUUGCCAAGUGUUUAUAGUUCUGUCAGUCUGUGACAGAUUUUGUCUCAGCGAUGGCAUUCUAACCUCGCAGGGUGCAGUUAUGUAACGGUGUAUAGGUGUGCAGUUGUGAUCCAAACGGAUGCAAUUUGGAGUCUUAACACAGUUGUACAGUAAAAAAUGAAGGCAGAUUUUGAAGAUGCGUGUGGUCAGAGGGAGCAAGGCGUUAGGGAGUAGGAAGUGAGGUCCUCUCUCUCCUCCAUCUCCAGUGCCAACAAAAUAGUUUCCACCAACAACAGAACUUUAGAGUAUAGUAGCAAGAUAGAGAAGGUUGGCAGCGGCGUCUGGUAUAGGUGGCGUCUGGGAUAGGUGGCGUCUGGUAUAGGUGGCGUCUGGGAUAGGUGGCGUCUGGGAUAGGUGGCGUCUGGGAUAGGUGGCGUCUGGGAUAGGUGGCGUCUUGGGUUUCAUAUUGUGUCACUCCUGUGACGCAAAUCAUUCGGCCCUCGUUAUUUCCUUCACAGAACAUGUAACCAAGCAAAUAAAAUCCACAGGAAUCACACAACAAAGGGAUUCUUCUGGUCCCCACACUUCUCUCAGCGAGCCUAAAUUGUUUUUCUGCUUUGAGAAAAAUUGUAACAUUUGUGACCUCAAAGCCUCAGUCUCAAAGAAAGGACCUUUUCAAUUUCCAAAUGUUGGUAACUCGAAAUAGUUUACAGUUGUAUAGAGUAUGUCUUAUUCCUUUUAUGAAGAAUUGAGGUAUUCAUUGUGAUUGAAAGAAGAACAGCACUCAUGUUCCCUUUCUUGUGUGUUCUGCAG